UACGGGGGGGGCAAGCGUUGUUCGGAAUUACUGGGCGUAAAGGGCGCGUAGGCGGUUCGCUAAGUUGGAUGUGAAAACUCUGGGCUUAACCCAGAGCCUGCAUCCAAAACUGGCGAACUGGAGUACUGGAGGGGAAAGCGGAAUUCCUGGUGUAGCGGUGAAAUGCGUAGAUAUCUGGAGGAAUACCGGUGGCGAAGGCGGCAUCCUGGACCGAGAUUGACGCUGAUGAGCGAAAGCUAGGGGAGCAAACGGG
rnacentral:rRNA from 1 species